GUGCCAGCAGCCGCGGUAAUACGGAGGGUGCAAGCGUUACUCGGAAUCACUGGGCGUAAAGGGCGCGUAGGCGGAUUAUCAAGUCUCUUGUGAAAUCUAAUGGCUUAACCAUUAAACUGCUUGGGAAACUGAUAGUCUAGAGUGAGGGAGAGGCAGAUGGAAUUGGUGGUGUAGGGGUAAAAUCCGUAGAUAUCACCAAGAAUACCCAUUGCGAAGGCGAUCUGCUGGAACUCAACUGACGCUAAGCGC
rnacentral:rRNA from 1 species